rnacentral:rRNA from 1 species
UAACGGCCCACCGUGGCGACGAUGCGUAGGGGUUCUGAGAGGAAGGUCCCCCACACUGGUACUGAGACACGGACCAGACUCCUACGGGAGGCAGCAGUGAGGAAUAUUGGUCAAUGGGAGAGAUCCUGAACCAGCCAAGCCGCGUGAGGGAAGACGGCCCUAUGGGUUGUAAACCUCUUUUGUCGGAGAACAAAACCCGGGACGUGUCCCGGACUGCGUGUAUCCGAAGAAAAAGCAUCGGCUAACUCCGUGCCAGCAGCCGCGGUAAUACGGAGGAUGCGAGCGUUAUCCGGAUUUAUUGGGUUUAAAGGGUGCGUAGGCGGUCCGUUAAGUCAGCGGUAAAAUUGCGGGGCUCAACCCCGUCGAGCCGUUGAAACUGGCAGACUUGAGUUGGCGAGAAGUACGCGGAAUGCGCGGUGUAGCGGUGAAAUGCAUAGAUAUCGCGCAGAACUCCGAUUGCGAAGGCAGCGUACCGGCGCCAGACUGACGCUGAGGCACGAAAGCGUGGGGAUCGAACAGGAUUAGAUACCCUGGUAGUCCACGCAGUAAACGAUGAAUGCUGGUUGUCCGGGUCGAAUGAGAUCUGGGCGGC